UAAUACGAAGGGGGCUAGCGUUGUUCGGAAUCACUGGGCGUAAAGCGUACGUAGGCGGAUUGUUAAGUCAGGGGUGAAAUCCCGAGGCUCAACCUCGGAACUGCCUUUGAUACUGGCUGUCUUGAGUCCGGGAGAGGUGAGUGGAACUCCUAGUGUAGAGGUGAAAUUCGUAGAUAUUAGGAAGAACACCAGUGGCGAAGGCGGCUCACUGGCCCGGAACUGACGCUGAUGUACGAAAGCGUGGGGAGCAAACAGGAUUAGAUACCCUGGUAGUCCACGCCGUAAACGAUGGGUGCUAGCCGUCGGCUUGCUUGCAAGUCGGUGGCGCAGCUAACGCAUUAAGCACCCCGCCUGGGGAGUACGGUCGCAAGAUUA
rnacentral:rRNA from 1 species